UACGUAGGGGGCAAGCGUUGUCCGGAUUUACUGGGCGUAAAGAGCGUGUAGGCGGCCAUGCAGGUCCGUUGUGAAAACUCGAGGCUCAACCUCGAGACGCCGGUGGAAACCGUGUGGCUAGAGUCCGGAAGAGGAGAGUGGAAUUCCUGGUGUAGCGGUGAAAUGCGCAGAUAUCAGGAAGAACACCCGUGGCGAAGGCGGCUCUCUGGGACGUGACUGACGCUGAGACGCGAAAGCGUGGGGAGCAAACAGG
rnacentral:rRNA from 1 species